rnacentral:rRNA from 1 species
GACAGAGGUGCCGAACGUUAUUCGGAAUCACUGGGCUUAAAGCGCGUGUAGGCGGGAGGGCACGUCCGUUGCUGAAAUCCCCCGGCUCAACCGGGGAACGGGCGCGGAUACGACUCUCCUCGAGGGGCGUAGGGGGACCUGGAACUUCCGGUGGAGCGGUGAAAUGCGUUGAGAUCGGAAGGAACGCCCGUGGCGAAAGCGAGGUCCUGGACGCCUACUGACGCUGAGACGCGAAAGCCAGGGGAGCGAACGGG